UCACAAUCUUCCAGAUUUGCUGCACAUCAGGAAGCUUGACAAUGCUUACUUUAGCAAAUCCUUAAUCCCAGAAGGACAAACAAGAAAAGGUAUUCAUUAAAAUGGGAGAGAUUCUAAUAAUUUAUACCAUCUGCCAAUCACUGUACACUAUUGUGUGAAGAAAUAAGAUUAAAUGUCUUUCCUUGAUGGAAUGGAUUAUUCUCACACCUUUGACAAGACAGGACAAUGUCAUCAACUGAAUGAGAGAAGACUGAAAAAUUAGAAAGAAGUUGAAUUUUCUUAAUUUGGAAUGACUUCAGGAAGCAUUGCAAAAAUAAAGCUUGUAUUUUAGAUAUUUUGAAGACUGCAAAAUGAACAUACAGAAGAAAUUUUGUAAUUAAAUUUAUGCAGGCCAAGCCUAUGCUGAAAAGAAUAGCAAGAAAUAAAAAUAACCUAAAGCAAAGGCACAUUUCAGCAAAAUGAGUGUCAAUGUUUUCAAAAUACAUACAAAUUCUCAGCACUCUAGUUAAGAAGAUAAAAAUAAAAAAGAAAAGUGGGUUUAUAUGUUACUUAUCAAAAAUGAACAUGGGCUGUUAAAAUACAUAGGGGAAACCAUAUGUGUCACAAAACCCAAAAGAACAGCAGGGUUAAUAGAAUAAAAC
rnacentral:lncRNA from 1 species